rnacentral:rRNA from 1 species
AACGAACGCUGGCGGCAUGCCUAACACAUGCAAGUCGAACGAGACCUUCGGGUCUAGUGGCGCACGGGUGCGUAACGCGUGGGAAUCUGCCCUUGGGUUCGGAAUAACAGUUAGAAAUGACUGCUAAUACCGGAUAAUGUCUUCGGACCAAAGAUUUAUCGCCCAGGGAUGAGCCCGCGUAGGAUUAGCUAGUUGGUGAGGUAAAGGCUCACCAAGGCGACGAUCCUUAGCUGGUCUGAGAGGAUGAUCAGCCACACUGGGACUGAGACACGGCCCAGACUCCUACGGGAGGCAGCAGUGGGGAAUAUUGGACAAUGGGCGAAAGCCUGAUCCAGCAAUGCCGCGUGAGUGAUGAAGGCCUUAGGGUUGUAAAGCUCUUUUACCCGGGAUGAUAAUGACAGUACCGGGAGAAUAAGCUCCGGCUAACUCCGUGCCAGCAGCCGCGGUAAU